rnacentral:SRP_RNA from 1 species
UCGUGCUAAGCGGGGAGCUAGCGGUGCCCUGUACCCGCAAACCGCUGCAGCGGGGCUGAAUCCCCUCUCGAGGCCGGCUCGUUCAAAGGAUGCAGCGGUAAGUGACGUCGAGGGUCGGGUUCUGCGCGGCGGGAGCCCUCGAACCCCGUCAGGUCCGGGAGGAAGCAGCGGUAAGGGGAGUCUUCCGGGUGCCGCAGAGCUACCUGGCCUGAGCCACUGCCGUCGCUCACGGCGAGCGGUCCGGUCGA